UUUAGCUUCACAUUACUUCAUGUGCAUGAGCCACACCACUUCACCAAAUGGGGUGGCUUCAAUCCAUCUUCUCUCCAAUCAAGAAGCUAUGGUUCAAGAUGAAUUCAACUCAAAAGAAGAGAAGAGGGCUUUACAUUUUAUAUGAAGAUGUGAAAUCUUGCCCUUACGAAGACGUUCACGUCCUCUGGUCAAUACUCGUGGAAUCACAUUCACCUUCUUUACCAUCGAAAAAAUGAAGGUCAUGGGCACAAUACAUAAUUGAGAAAAAGCUUGUAAUUAAUGUACAUAAAAAUAACUAUAAUGUCCAUAGUACCAUAGUGUUUCUUUUCUCUUUUAACUUCUGUAGCACCAAAACAUAAUGAAUCUCAAAUUUUGUUUUUAAAACAAUCA